rnacentral:rRNA from 1 species
AUGAGCGGAAAUCACGAAGAGAGCGAAAAAGCGAACCAUGGGCGAUCGGGAACCAGAUCCCCCCAAAUCGGUCACUUUUUGAAGGAGAGCAAGAGGAUUGAGGAGAUUGAGGGAUGCGGGGGAGGAUGGAUCCUCACUGAUGGGGAAAAUCUGCUGGAAAGGAAGGAAGCAUGGAUCAAGGUAAGGGAUGCGAUAUUCAGACCCCUGCAAAGCAGGAAAGAGAAGGAUGGAUCGCAAGAGACCACAAAGAAGAAUCAGGGAAAUUUCCAGGCCGGGCUGAUCAGAUCCAAGAUGCAGCGGCUGAGGGAAGACCUAAAUAACAGGAUCAAGGAAAGAAAUCGGGAGGCAAAGGCAAGAGGAUUCACAAGGGCGCAACCUACCGAUCCACCGGAUAGAAACGAAGAAAGGAAACCAAAUCAGGGGCUAUUGCACAAGCAGGCGGCAACGGAUCAAAGUGAAUCAGCAGACAAAUCGUGGAUCAUCAAUUCAAUCGAUGUCAAGGCAAGCAUAAAAGGAGAAUGGGAGGCGAAGUCAAAUCCACCGAUUGUCGUGCAAUUGCCCACACACCAAUCCACUGCAAUGGUGAACCAGGACCAAGGCAAGAACAAGAUGGUGAUGGGCGAGGAGGAAAAGGUGGCCUCCAAUGGCAAGGCCGGGCUAGGAAGGCGGCCACUGGCACGGGGUGAAUCAUCUCGUGCCUAG